rnacentral:rRNA from 1 species
AUUGAACGCUGGCGGCAUGCUUUACACAUGCAAGUCGAACGGCAGCGCGGGCUUCGGCCUGGCGGCGAGUGGCGAACGGGUGAGUAAUACAUCGGAACGUGCCCAGUAGUGGGGGAUAGCUCGGUGAAAGCCGGAUUAAUACCGCAUACGACCUGAGGGUGAAAGCGGGGGAUCUUCGGACCUCGCGCUAUUGGAGCGGCCGAUGGCAGAUUAGCUAGUUGGUGGGGUAAAGGCCUACCAAGGCGACGAUCUGUAGCUGGUCUGAGAGGACGACCAGCCACACUGGGACUGAGACACGGCCCAGACUCCUACGGGAGGCAGCAGUGGGGAAUUUUGGACAAUGGGCGAAAGCCUGAUCCAGCAAUGCCGCGUGUGUGAUGAAGGCCUUCGGGUUGUAAAGCACUUUUGGCGGGAACGAAAAGGACUGUGCCAAUACCACGGUUCGAUGACGGUACCCGCAGAAUAAGCACCGGCUAACUACGUG